UCGAAGUUUUGGUGCUUCACCGUAAGGGUGAGAGGGGCACUCCUCUUUUAGGGAGUCCCCUCUCUUACUCACACCCAAUCAUCACGCGCCAUGUCAACUCCCCUCUUAAGUCCCUAUUUUACACUCAAACGUUAGCAUCACUCCACUCACACAAUUAUUUUUUUAUAAAAAAAGAAGAAAAAAAUAUGAUUGGUGAAAAAAAGGUGGACCCACAUUAACAACCAAUCACCCCCUCUCUCUCCUCUCUCUCUCAAUCGGUGAACACCCACCGAUUCCAUUCCCCGAUUAGCCUCCCCGCGUUGAUGGCGGCGGUGUUCCCGCUCGGGGACUAGGCUCACCGCAGGCCUCCCCGCUAAGUGCCCCGGACACCCUAAGCCACUGCUCUGGUGGCUACCUUCCCUCAGAUGAUUAACAUGGUCAGGGAUGGAGACGCAAGUAGAGGAGACCGGGGGCUGACACCGCCACAUCAGGCGGAGAUGGGGUUGGUUUUCUUUUUAUCUAUUUUGAAGAUUGAUGCUUCAAAACCGGUUUUCAGCACAGAUCUUUAUGCCGUUGAGGAGUUGUCCGAAAAGAUAGAAAGAUGCGAGGCUUCUGCAUAUCAGAAGCUAUUGAUACGGAGGGUAGGGGAUAAUCUUGGUGCAUUUGGGGUUUCAAAGGUUCAUUUUGCAAUAACUAAACCAUUUGGUCGUAGGUGGAUUCAGAAACAUGAAGCAUUUGAUGAAGAUUUCACCAGAUUUUGCUAUCUUCAGUGGCUAUUGAUGGUUAGGUUAGCCAUUCCGACAACCAGGCAAACUACAAAGGCAAGAAUUUAAAGGAAAAACUGGUCUCAACGGAAGUACUUAUUAGACAUGAAAAGAUCUGGAGCCUGAAGCAGUAGAUGCCCAUUCAUAAUUUUAAAGACCAUGCUAAGAUGUAUAUAGAAGCUUAUUAUCAUGAAAACUUGGUACAAAAAUUGGUUAAUGGGGGGAGAGCUGUCAGCCGGACAUGCAAAAAUUUCGCUAGGAAUGUGUAAGAUAACACUGCUUGUACGUUUUGCCAAGAGCUUGCCCAAAUGUGUAAAAUCGUCACCAGAAAAGGAAGAUCAAUAGUAUAUGGCGCACGACAAGAAAGUGUUAACAAUGACACUAAAGAAAGGGAGUAGAAAGCUUUUUUUUUUGUCCCGGCUAUUCACUACAUCAUCAAAGCAAAGAGAAAGAAGGCUUUAUGGCCAUGAAAGGGUGUUAACUGCCUUUAAAGGCCUUUUUGGUCAUUUCGUGUUGAGUUCAUAAUAUACAAUUGAUUAUGUUUUGUAAUCUUAUUUGAUGUUCAUUGGCUUUGUAGAAAUUCAAGCCCAUAUGUAUGGUUCGAAUAAAAUGUUUUCAUCA